GGGGUUGUGGUCUAGUGGUAUGACAUCUUCUUAGCAUUGCUCUGUCUCGAGCAUUACUGAGUGGAGAAGGUUCUGGGUUCGAUUCCCAGCUACUCCA
rnacentral:tRNA from 1 species